UACGAAGGGGGCUAGCGUUGUUCGGAAUUACUGGGCGUAAAGCGCACGUAGGCGGAUAUUUAAGUCAGGGGGUGAAAUCCCAGAGCUCAACUCUGGAACUGCCUUUGAUACUGGGUAUCUCGAGUAUGGAAGAGGUGAGUGGAAUUCCGAGUGUAGAGGUGAAAUUCGUAGAUAUUCGGAGGAACACCAGUGGCGAAGGCGGCUCACUGGUCCAUUACUGACGCUGAGGCACGAAAGCGUGGGGAGCAAACAGG
rnacentral:rRNA from 1 species